CUCUUAUACAUAGUGCACAUGGCUCUCCUUCCAGGAUUUAUGAUUCAACCUUUUGUUGGUUUCUCUGUGUGGCUGAAUUCCAAGUUUCUGUAACUCUUGACUCCAGGUACAUAUUUUGAACUCAAAAGUGAAGUUCUCUCUGUGGGGGUCCCUUGGACUCCUCCAUUUCAGCCUCUGUAAAGCUCAUCAUCUGUUCUUCAUAAAAAGAAAGGUCAAAGUCCUCAUCCUGUGUUCCUUGUCUCAUUCCCAAUAUUCUAAUAGUGCAUUGACAUGUGACUUUUCAGAAAUAAUAUUAUCAUAGAAAAAUCUCUUAGAACUGAAACCAUCUCAGACAAGGCUAUUCUUAGCAAAAUCUCCUUAAUUAAUGGCCAGGUUAAUGGCAAAUACUGGUAAACUCAGCAUUCUGGAACCUGAAGCAAAAAGAUCUCAAGCCAGAGGCCAGCCUGGGCCACAUACAGAGUAAGACUAUGUGCCAAAUAACAAAAACAAAUUAAAAACUCUCCCUGGGCCAGACAUGGCGGUGCAUACCUUUAAUCCCAGCACUUGGAAGGCAGAGGCAGGUGGAUCUCUUUGUGUUUGAGGCCAGCCUGAUCUACAGAGCAAGUUCAAGGAUAGCCAGUAAUGUUACACAGAGAAACCCUGUCUCCAAACAAACAAACAAACAAACAAAACCUCUCUCUGUUGCCAUCUGUGAGCAAACUCCAGAAGCCAGCCAGCAGCACCCAGGCCAGGAGUGAUUCAGUGACUUCAGUGAGAAAACCUGCCCAUUGUCAUCUUCUUUCUGGUUCUGCCAUUGCCAGCUCUUAGCACCUGAUCAGUCCAGUGUGAUCCACUCUCUGAUGGGGAGUGUCUUUCUGAAUGCUGUGAAUAAUACGUUUUUCUUAUUGGUUGGUGAAAAAAAUGCUGAUUGGCCAGGCAGGAAGUGUAAGCGGGACUACCAGACUAGGAGAAGGCUGGGAAGAGGAACUCAGUGAGUCACCAGGGAGAUGCCAUGGAGCUGCCAGAGGAGUAACAUGCUGGAGCAUUAUGGGCUUUCACUUUUCCCUAAACCAUGGGCUACCUCACCAAGGCACACACUGAGUCACCUCAUUGACUCAAGAAUCCUUCAAGAUCUUCUCAUAAAUAAGAUGGUAUUGGGCAUGCUGGCACAAGUCUUUAAUCCAGGCACUUGGGAAGCUGAGCAGGUGGAUCCCCAUGAGUACAAAGCCAAUCUGGCCAGACUAGAGCUCAUGAGACCUUGGCAGCGGGAAAAGGAAAACAACAACAACAAAGCAUGGGACCACAGACUCAACUCAGGACUGACAAAUGAGUCACCUCAAGUGCCAGUCUCAAUAGAGUCAUCAUGAAUGCCUGGAACACUGUUAGGGAGCCUGAGGUUUUAUACAAACUUAGCAGAAAAACUUAAUAAAGGCACAAGAAGGACAAGUGGAAAUUCCUGAUCUACAUGGAAAAAAAUUUUUACACUUCUUCCUACACACACCAGCAUCCACCACUCAGCACGAGAACGCUUACCAACUGCUGGAUGAUCCAUGCAAGUCUCAUCACCACAAAUAUCUGCGGUUUUCAUAAUGCCUUCCUUUCAUUGUCAGCUCUGGCCUCAGCUUCCUCACAUGGGAAUCUUCACCUGGUACCCGAUGUCUUCUUCCACCACAGUUCAUUACUUCUUCUGAGCACAUGCCAGCGUCCUCAGCUGUAUAGACAUUUGUGUGCAUAUUCCAUAUCAUGUGUGCUUCUCCCACUGGACAAUAAGGUCUUCGGAGACAGUGAACAUGCCUAGCUCAUCUCACAGAUCUUAAACCCGCAUCACUAAUUUAGACAUAGCCGGUGUUCAAGAAAGGAUUAUAAAAUCAAUGAACUAGUUAGCUAAUACUCUGAGAGCACUGUGACAUGUGACUUUUCAAACAAAAUAUUAUCAGAGAAUCUCUUGGAACUAAAACCGUGUCAGAAGCAACAAUAUUCACAUGGAAAUCUCCUUGACAGUGGGGUGAUAGCAAAUACCUAUUAUCUCAGCUCUUGAAGCCUGGAGAAGAGAGGCAAGCUUUGUAUAGUGUUAAUAGGAAAUAAAUAAAUAGGCCAGUCAUGAUGGCAC
rnacentral:lncRNA from 1 species